ACAUGCAUUUCCCUGCUGCUAUGUGAAAUGUGCGUCUUCUCCUUCCGCCAUGAUUAAGUAAGCAAACAUUUUCCUCUAAUUCAGAUUCUUUAAACAAAAGUUGCAAAUGAAUGUAGCCUUCAUCUAUUGUAAAAUUAAAGAUGGAGAUGGUCAAGGGGUUACCGCCAGUCUGUUUCUUGCGCUGAUAAUUUUUCUAGACAUUAAAUCUCACCAUUUGUUCCCAACAAAGAAAGAAAGACAGGACCACCAGACUCUACAGGGAAGCCAAGAGGAAGAAGGGAAGGAGCCCAGAAAUGGAGAGAAGCUGGACUCUAGGGAUGGAUCUGGGGAUGCUCCACAAAGUGCAGCUGUGGAGAAUGCAGAAGAAGAGUUGGCUAGUGGGACAUUCCCACUGAGGAGCAUGGCAGGGGGAAUGUCUAAUAUUCACUAAGAGAAUUCUUGAAAUGUAACAUUUAGAUGAAACUCUUCAAGUUUCCUUAAAAUACAAAUUCAUGACUCUCUUUCUUUCUCUCUCUCUCUUUCUCUCUCUCUUUGGUAUGUUAAAGUAAUCAAGGAAAGGGAUUUUGUUUUAUAACUGGGUUACACAGGGGAGAGACCAGAAUAGCUGAAAGCUGUGAGACAUGAAGAAAAUUCAAGAUUUAGGAGACAUGCAGAACAUCAGUGUCUAGGCAAAAUGGCAGACUGACCAACCCCCACACACUGAAUCCCUAGAGAUAUUAGGACAGGGAUAUUGAGAAAAAUUUACCUUUAAGUUGUAAAGGACAAGGCAACUCAACAUAUUGAAUGCCUUGUUGACAACCAGGGGCUAAUAUUUGGGAUGCAUAUUGGGCAUAGAUGCACAGAAAAUAAUUUAUCAGUGACAUUAAUAAUAUGACAUCUCUUUGUUGAGAAUUUACUGCUGUCUUAAUAUCACAACUCUAAGGGGUCAACAUCCAGAAUAAACUUCUUAUCUUACAUAUUUAAAAUUAUUUGCUAGGCUACAUUUUUCUUAGAAAAAUGCAUAUCUGAAACAGAAUAUUGAUUUUUUUCCUGGGUCAUACAUAAAGACCAUCAGAAAUUAAUUAUUGAAAAAACACUGCUAUACUCAUUAGAGAUAUAUUUUAAUUAGAUUAAUUUUGCAUUAACAGUCCAUGAGAAGUUACAACUAACUUGCAACGAGACAUUAACAUGCAUCAUGUUUGAUAUAAGUAAAAAUGGAAAUGAUUAGAAGUAUACAAAUAUAAAGUAUGUUGCUAGUAUAUGCAAGCUUAAAAAACUUUUACCUGAUAGAAUUAGCAAGAGCAGCUAUGUUGAGCUUCUUUCAGUUAAAAGUCAUUUUCGGCUAUGUCUCCCUAAGGAUAGAAAUAUCACUGCUUUUGAUCUCAUUUAGAAUUCUGCUCACUUUUAGGAAAGUAGGGCUGUUUGGAAAUGGUCAGCCAUAUCCUUACUGAAUUUCCUAGGGCUUGACUGCACCUACUCUAGUUAACAAGUAAGAUAUAGUUAUAUAUUGUAUUAUAACUUCUCAAAGCACUUAUAUUUUGAUUUUCCUUCUUUUAUGUUCAUUAUCUUCAUUUGGACUACUCCAUGUGACAAAAGCAGUUAUUUUUCUUCUACCCCCUAAACUGGACCACAUCGAUGCUCUUAGGUCCAAAUCAUAUUCUUUAAGAAACAAGUGUUCACUGAAUGAUUUACUGCAUUAUAUAAUAGGUACUAUACAAGACACCUGAGGCCCCCCACACCGUGAAAACAGAUGUUUCUUCCUGGAGCUUGCCCAAUAGGAGAGAAAUUUUUAAUUUACCCUUUCUCAGUAAACCAUUAUACAAAACAGAAGUGAAAUUAUGGACCCAGUGAACUCAAUCUGGCUGACUUGCAACCCCUAUGUGUUCAUAAACCCACUGAAAUAUAUAAUUUGUUGUUUAUAUUAAAUAUGCACUGAAGCAUGAUUAGAUAAACAUUGAAAGUAAAUUUUAAUUUUAACCAUCAGUGGAAGUAUAUGGGGUGAUUUAAGUCAUUCAUAUUAGUUUAUUUUUAUCAGGUGUUCCUCCUUGUCCAUAGUGAAAUACAAUACAGAGAUUAUAGCCUGUGGCUUGACAGGACAUCUUAUAGUUGGUAACAGGACUACAUUAAAAGGAAAAAACAAUAAAUAAGGAUGUCUAAUUAUACAGAUAAAGAAAGCAAGUUCACUCACUCCUCCAGGACAGCACCAGAGACAACGUUAGAACCAAGAGUUUCAAAACCUCGCCUUGUAUGGUUUGCCUGAUGCCAUGAUUAAAGAAAAGGGGGUGGGGAACUAAGAGAGGAAGCCAAAGAGAAAGAAUUCAGUACCAAACAGCAAUAUUCAGAUGUUUUAUUAAAUAAUAGGAGGUGUUUUGACCUUGCUGGUGAACAGAGGUGAUCUCAAAACAUUUGACAGAUAUAAUUAAGGCCAUAAGGCAAUAAUUGCAAAAGUCAAGGAGCCCUUGCCACCUCCAAAGCAUCACGUGUGGAUGCAGGAACCAUAUUAACAACAUGGGUAGUCAAGGAGAAAGCAGAUAGAAUAAAGCUGUACCCAGCAAUAUAAAGGGACAUGCAAGUGUGUGUUGUGCUUAAGAGUAAACUUAGGGAAAAAAGCUCCCCAUAACCUCGAGAAACGUUUCUGGAUCUGAGAUAUCCAUUAGCACAUUUAGAAGGUACCUAUUUCCAUUAUUGUGAAGGAGUUGUAAAUGAAAUAAACAACUUUAAAUAAUACCUCCCUUGGUCAAACUGCAUUAAGUAUUCCCUGAUGGAAUUCAUUCAUCAUCAUUCAAACAGAAUGGUUUGCAACUCAACCUGCCUAGUGUGGGGUCUGGAAUUCCCACCACAGUCACUGUGCCUUAAGCACUGUUGCAGCAGAAGGACUUGAAGUAACACAUGAAUAUAUAAUGCCAAUUUGCAUGUCAGCAUGGAUUGUUGAAAUUGAAGUUAGUUAAUUGUCACAUUGUAACAGGAAAAGAAUCCAAGUUUUGGAGCUGGUUGGAACUGAGUUUUCAUCUUCUUUCUCUGCUACUUAACUGUGUUAUCCUGAACAAGAUACUCAACCUCCAUGAGACACAGUGACCAUGUGAAAUAUAUAUGUAAAAUGUCUGGCAAACAUCUGAUUCAUGUAGGUACCCAAAAUUAGAUCAUUUUCAUUUUCUUUUGCUUCCUUGGAAGUUCAAAACAAAAUUCUGAGGUAAGUUUCAAUUAAAAUGGGUCAGGCAGACAGAUUCCAGCAAGGUCAAAGCAUCCUUUUUUCUUUAAUAAAAUAUCUGAAUAUCUGAACAAGAAACAACUUCUGUUUCUCAAGGUUGAAAUGAUGAAUUAUUGAACUUCUGUUGCUGUUUGUUUUCUCUCUUAUCUCCUUACUACUACAUAUAAAUGAGAUAUCUUGCUAUCCCACUGAUAUCUCAAAUUCAGUAUUUCCCAAAUAAAACGUAAUCUUUUC
ensembl:lncRNA FLJ46284 uncharacterized LOC441369